rnacentral:sRNA from 1 species
UUGAGCGGCGUCCGUGGAGUGCGCCUGCGCAGCUACGACCGCAGCAGGAAAGCGCCGCCGGCCAGGCCCAGCUGUGGCCGGACAGGGACUGGAAGAGAGGACGCGGUCGAGUAGGUGUGCACCAGCCCUGGCAACGAGAGCGUCUACCCCGAACUCUGCUGGCCUUGAGGUUUUAAAACAUGAAUCCUACACUCAUCCUUGCUGCCUUUUGCCUGGGAAUUGCCUCAGCUACUCUAACAUUUGAUCACAGUUUAGAGGCACAGUGGACCAAGUGGAAGGCGAUGCACAACAGAUUAUACGGCAUGAAUGAAGAAGGAUGGAGGAGAGCAGUGUGGGAGAAGAACAUGAAGAUGAUUGAACUGCACAAUCAGGAAUACAGGGAAGGGAAACACAGCUUCACAAUGGCCAUGAACGCCUUUGGAGACAUGACCAGUGAAGAAUUCAGGCAGGUGAUGAAUGGCUUUCAAAACCGUAAGCCCAGGAAGGGGAAAGUGUUCCAGGAACCUCUGUUUUAUGAGGCCCCCAGAUCUGUGGAUUGGAGAGAGAAAGGCUACGUGACUCCUGUGAAGAAUCAGGGUCAGUGUGGUUCUUGUUGGGCUUUUAGCGCUACUGGUGCUCUUGAAGGACAGAUGUUCCGGAAAACUGGGAGGCUUAUCUCACUGAGUGAGCAGAAUCUGGUAGACUGCUCUGGGCCUCAAGGCAAUGAGGGCUGCAAUGGUGGCCUAAUGGAUUAUGCUUUCCAGUAUGUUCAGGAUAAUGGAGGCCUGGACUCUGAGGAAUCCUAUCCAUAUGAGGCAACAGAAGAAUCCUGUAAGUACAAUCCCAAGUAUUCUGUUGCUAAUGACACCGGCUUUGUGGACAUCCCUAAGCAGGAGAAGGCCCUGAUGAAGGCAGUUGCAACUGUGGGG